AAUCCAAUAUCAGACAAAUAAAAGAUAAUAAAAAACAGAAAAGCAGGAGAGAGAAAGAGGGAGAGCAUCUCGCAGAUCAUACUGUCAGAUACACAUAUCUAGUUUAUUGUCCACAGACUGAUUUUUUCUUUAAAAAAUAAAAUUUAAUUAGGUAAUUUAGUUUGUUUAAAAUAUUAAUAUUCCGAUGUUUUAAGAAAUCCAUGCAGUUUCAUACCAAUAGUGUUGCUCUUAGAGCACGUUCAACGCGGUCUCUUAAGCCCAUAUUUAGCGCUUAAUACGCGACUAAAAGAAAUGAAAAAAGACAAAACCCGAAGGCACGUCUAAAUUAAGAGCGCGAAGAUACGUAUGUUAAGGGGCAUGUGUUACACAAUUAUUGGUUUGGGCAACGGUGGAGACGCGCUUCGUUCCAUCUUCUUUCUUUCUCUCUUUCGGUUUCUCUCAUCUCGAUGACGAGAAAGGCGAUUCCUCUGCUGUCGGUGUCUCUUUUCUCGUCGACUCUUCGGUGACGUCUCCUCUCGUCGAGGAAGGAAAAAGGCGACGUCUCUAUCGCUGGCUCUGCUCGACGAAGGAUGACGACGAUUUCUCCCCCUCUUUGACUCAGUGGCUCUCCUCGGCGAUACGGAAAUGUCUCUCUCGAAACGAAGGAAAACGACGAUCUGUCUAUUGGCGGUUCUCGGAGACGCAGAUAAACGCCGCCGAGUGUUGUUCAUGGGAAUCAAAAGUGGGAACAUGGAUGGAUCAAGACACUCGGGGUGGCUCUCUGAGACGAAAAUAAACGGUGUAUGUUGCUCAGGCGUAUGAAACGUCGGGAGAUGGAUGGAUGAAGACGCAUGAUCCAGGUUCGCCAGACCAAAGGCGUACGCUUGUUGAUAGAGGUCAAGACAGUGUGAAAUAGUGGAGCAUUGGGAGUGGAAGUAUCACGGAGUGUCUAUGGUCUUGGAGUCUUGUGUCACGAGUCUUGGUAUCUUGUAUCAGUCUUGUGUUGGUUGCUUGUGUCAAGGAGUGUUGUAUCAGACUUUGUGUUGGUUGUAGUUUAACUCUCAGCCUUGGAGUAUUGUGUUGUAGUACUUGUGUCACGGUCUUGUAUCAGACUUUGGUUCUCUAUAUUAAGUAAUGUUGCGUUGAAGUUUUA